rnacentral:rRNA from 1 species
AGAGUUUGAUCAUGGCUCAGAUUGAACGCUGGCGGAAUGCUUUACACAUGCAAGUCGAGCGGCAGCGCGGGGCAACCUGGCGGCGAGCGGCGAACGGGUGAGUAAUGCAUCGGAACAUGUCCAUGUCGUGGGGGAUAGCCCGGCGAAAGCCGGAUUAAUACCGCAUACGCCCGAGAGGGGAAAGUGGGGGACCGCAAGGCCUCACGCGAUUGGGUUGGCCGAUGUCCGAUUAGCUAGUUGGCGGGGUAAGAGCCCACCAAGGCGAUGAUCGGUAGCUGGUCUGAGAGGAUGAUCAGCCACACUGGGACUGAGACACGGCCCAGACUCCUACGGGAGGCAGCAGUGGGGAAUUUUGGACAAUGGGGGCAACCCUGAUCCAGCCAUUCCGCGUGAGUGAAGAAGGCCUUCGGGUUGUAAAGCUCUUUUGUCCGGAACGAAACGGUGAGCGUGAACAUCGCUCGCUACUGACGGUACCGGAAGAAUAAGCACCGGCUAACUACGUGCCAGCAGCCGCGGUAAUACGUAGGGUGCGAGCGUUAAUCGGAAUUACUGGGCGUAAAGCGUGCGCAGGCGGUUUUGUAAGCCAGAUGUGAAAUCCCCGGGCUUAACCUGGGAAUGGCAUUUGGGACUGCAAGGCUGGAGUGUGGCAGAGGAGACUGGAAUUCCCGGUGUAGCAGUGAAAUGCGUAGAUAUCGGGAAGAAUACCGAUGGCGAAGGCAGGUCUCUGGGCUGACACUGACGCUCAUGCACGAAAGCGUGGGGAGCAAACAGGAUUAGAUACCCUGGUAGUCCACGCCCUAAACGAUGUCGACUGGUUGUUGGGGGUUUGACACUCUCAGUAACGAAGCUAACGCGUGAAGUCGACCGCCUGGGGAGUACGGCCGCAAGGUUAAAACUCAAAGGAAUUGACGG